rnacentral:lncRNA from 1 species
UAUUUUUCGAUUUAUAUAAAAAUUAAAUAGAUUAAAUUAGAUACGCUUUAAACCUAUAUUUGCGGCCUGUAACCUGUAAGGUUACGGAAUGCAUUUUUAUAAUUUUAUUUAUUAUUACAAAUAUCUUAGCGAUAUUUUACAAAAAAGAGGACUAUUUUAGCAUUUUAAAGAUAACAUUUGCAAUUAGUUAAUAUUCUGACGUAGAACUUAUGACGUAACGUGUGACUCAUUUAUCGCACGUUCCACCGAUUCGAAUUCGUUCGAUUUCGUAUUGCCGACGCCAUCUUGAAAUAGAAAGUUUUAUGGAAAUUGCGAGUUAUUUUUCAAUCCAUUUCGAGAUUUUUCGUAAAUGUUUAAUUACAAAAACCCGAAUAACGCAGGCAAUAAAGAAGUAUCAUUCUCAAAUUUUAUAAUCCACUUUCCAAAGAAACAUGGAAUCAUUUUAAAAACUUCUUUGCUCAAAAAAUUAACAAAGGAAAGAUUUAACUGAUUGUGAGCACUUAAAGCCAGGAGUUGUGUGACAUCAUUUAGGCUUCUGACAUACCAAUAGAGCAGCUAUGUGACAUGUAUGUAUGAAAAUUACUUCGUGGAUAAGCAACUCAAUGGUUAUCUGCUCCACACACCUUCUUUUAGAAAAUGUUGAUAUUGAACUUUGUCACUGCAAUCUUUUAACAAACAUUUCCAUUAUGACAAAGAGCAUGCAACAUUUUCUUCUAUAAAUGGUCAGUGAACUACUUUACUUUACUUUUAUAUUCCCGGGACCAUUUUAAUUUUAAAUUUUGUAAAAAUUGGCAUUCAGAGUUUGAUUUGUCUUGAUGUUCAUUUUGGAUUAAUUAGCCCUAUGUUAAUUAAGCACAAUAAAAUUAGGUUCAAAUUUUCUUUAUCAUAUAUAAUGUAAUAGAGAUAGCUGUAAAAGCAGAUUAUAAAUUAUGAAUUAUUGUAAAAUUUAUAUUUUAAAUAA